rnacentral:rRNA from 2 species
CCGGCCGGGAACUCAAAGGAGACUGCCAGUGAUAAACUGGAGGAAGGUGGGGAUGACGUCAAGUCAUCAUGGCCCUUACGACCAGGGCUACACACGUGCUACAAUGGCGCAUACAAAGAGAAGCGACCUCGCGAGAGCAAGCGGACCUCAUAAAGUGCGUCGUAGUCCGGAUUGGAGUCUGCAACUCGACUCCAUGAAGUCGGAAUCGCUAGUAAUCGUGGAUCAGAAUGCCACGGUGAAUACGUUCCCGGGCCUUGUACACACCGCCCGUCACACCAUGGGAGUGGGUUGCAAAAGAAGUAGGUAGCUUAACCUUCGGGAGGGCGCUUACCACUUUGUGAUUCAUGACUGGGGUGAAGUCGUAACAAGGUAACCGUAGGGGAACCUGCGGUUGGAUCACCUCCUUACCUUAAAGAAGC